GGGGCGUUAGCGCAGUUGGUAGCGCGCAACACUGGCAGUGUUGAGGUCACGGGUUCGACUCCCGUACGCUCCACCA
rnacentral:tRNA from 1 species